ACUCCUACGGGAGGCAGCAGUGGGGAAUAUUGCACAAUGGGCGCAAGCCUGAUGCAGCCAUGCCGCGUGUGUGAAGAAGGCCUUCGGGUUGUAAAGCACUUUCAGUCGUGAGGAAGGUAGUGUAGUUAAUAGCUGCAUUAUUUGUACGUUAGCGACAGAAGAAGCACCGGCUAACUCCGUGCCAGCAGCCGCGGUAAUACGGAGGGUGCGAGCGUUAAUCGGAAUUACUGGGCGUAAAGCGCAUGCAGGUGGUUUGUUAAGUCAGAUGUGAAAGCCCGGGGCUCAACCUCGGAAUAGCAUUUGAAACUGGCAGACUAGAGUACUGUAGAGGGGGUUAGAAUUUCAGGUGUAGCGGUGAAAUGCGUAGAGAUCUGAAGGAAUACCGGUGGCGAAGGCGGCCCCUGGACAGAUACUGACACUCAGAUGCGAAAGCGUGGGAGCAAACAGGAUUAGAUACCCCGU
rnacentral:rRNA from 1 species